GACAGAGGGUGCAAACGUUGUUCGGAUUUACUGGGCGUAAAGCGCGUGUAGGCGGCUUUGCAAGUCGGAUGUGAAAGCCCACGGCUCAACCGUGGAAGUGCAUCCGAAACUGCAUGGCUCGAGUCUCGGAGAGGAAGGUGGAAUGCUUGGUGUAGAGGUGAAAUUCGUAGAUAUCAUGAGGAAUACCAGAGGCGAAGGCGGCUACCUGGACAAUUGCUGACGCUCAGGCACGAAAGCGUGGGGAGCAAAAGGG
rnacentral:rRNA from 1 species